rnacentral:rRNA from 1 species
CUACGGGUUGCUCCAGUGGGGAAUAUUGGGCAUUGGGCGCAAGCCUGACCCAGCAACGCCGCGUGAGGGAAGAAGGUUUUCGGAUUGUAAACCUCUGUCCUUGGGGACGAAGAAGUGACGGUACCCAAGGAGGAAGCUCCGGCUAACUACGUGCCAGCGGCCGCGGUAAUACGUAGGGAGCAAGCGUUGUCCGGAAUUACUGGGCGUAAAGGGUGCGUAGGCGGCAUAUUAAGUCAGGUGUGAAAUACUCGGGCUCAACCCGGGGGCUGCAUUUGAAACUGAUAUGCUUGAGUGUGAGAGAGGAAAGUGGAAUUCCUAGUGUAGCGGUGGAAUGCGUAGAUAUUAGGAGGAACACCAGUGGCGAAGGCGACUUUCUGGCUCAUAACUGACGCUGAGGCACGAAAGCGUGGGGAGCAAACAGGAUUAGAUACCCCGGUAGUC